rnacentral:lncRNA from 1 species
AGCAAUUCCUGAUAUCUUUUUCUGACAACAUUUGUGAAGCUUUAAAAUUAACUGCCUAAGCAAAAGGAGUGAGUAAUAAAUCCUUACAUGUCGUGUCAGAAGUCUUUCAUCUUCCCAAGAUGAUUAUUCAAAGGAUUUUGAAGAUCUGAAUAGGUUGGCCUUCCAUUUGCAACUUGAACUCUCACCUGCUAUGAAAAGUGUUUUUCUUUUGACUUUACAUCUUUACAUGGGUUUCCUUGGAUCAAACUGUCACUUAAAAUUUGACUUAAAAUGUAAUAAUAGCCAUCUAAAUUGAAAUACUUGUCCAUUCUUUGACAAUCUAUAAUGCUAUGAACAGAUAGCUAUUCAAUUAAAGCUGAUUAUUGUACAGCCUGUAAUAUAGGGAAAAAAAUAAAUAAUGUAAAGCUUUAUUUUGCCCA